rnacentral:rRNA from 1 species
GGGUUGUGAGGUUAAGCGACUAAGCGUACACGGUGGAUGCCCUGGCAGUCAGAGGCGAUGAAGGACGUGCUAAUCUGCGAAAAGCGUCGGUAAGGUGAUAUGAACCGUUACAGCCGGCGAUGUCCGAAUGGGGAAACCCAGUGCAAUUCGUUGCACUAUCGUUAACUGAAUACAUAGGUUAACGAGGCGAACCGGGGGAACUGAAACAUCUAAGUACCCCGAGGAAAAGAAAUCAACCGAGAUUCCCCCAGUAGCGGCGAGCGAACGGGGAGCAGCCCAGAGUCUGAAUCAGCUUGUGUGUUAGUGGAACGGUCUGGAAAGUCCGACGGUACAGGGUGAUAGUCCCGUACACCAAAAUGCACAGGCUGUGAACUCGAAGAGUAGGGCGGGACACGUGGUAUCCUGUCUGAAUAUGGGGGGACCAUCCUCCAAGGCUAAAUACUCCUGACUGACCGAUAGUGAACCAGUACCGUGAGGGAAAGGCGAAAAGAACCCCGGCGAGGGGAGUGAAAAAGAACCUGAAACCGUGUACGUACAAGCAGUGGGAGCACCUUCGGGUGUGACUGCGUACCUUUUGUAUAAUGGGUCAGCGACUUAUAUUCUGUAGCAAGGUUAACCGUAUAGGGGAGCCGCAGGGAAACCGAGUCUUAACUGGGCGUUAAGUUGCAGGGUAUAGACCCGAAACCCGGUGAUCUAGCCAUGGGCAGGUUGAAGGUUGGGUAACACUAACUGGAGGACCGAACCGACUAAUGUUGAAAAAUUAGCGGAUGACUUGUGGCUGGGGGUGAAAGGCCAAUCAAACCGGGAGAUAGCUGGUUCUCCCCGAAAGCUAUUUAGGUAGCGCCUCGUGAACUCAUCUUCGGGGGUAGAGCACUGUUUCGGCUAGGGGGUCAUCCCGACUUACCAACCCGAUGCAAACUACGAAUACCGAAGAAUGUUAUCACGGGAGACACACGGCGGGUGCUAACGUCCGUCGUGAAGAGGGAAACAACCCAGACCGCCAGCUAAGGUCCCAAAGUCAUGGUUAAGUGGGAAACGAUGUGGGAAGGCACAGACAGCCAGGAUGUUGGCUUAGAAGCAGCCAUCAUUUAAAGAAAGCGUAAUAGCUCACUGGUCGAGUCGGCCUGCGCGGAAGAUGUAACGGGGCUAAACCAUGCACCGAAGCUGCGGCAGCGACACUAUGUGUUGUUGGGUAGGGGAGCGUUCUGUAAGCCUGCGAAGGUGACCUGUGAGGGUUGCUGGAGGUAUCAGAAGUGCGAAUGCUGACAUAAGUAACGAUAAAGCGGGUGAAAAGCCCGCUCGCCGGAAGACCAAGGGUUCCUGUCCAACGUUAAUCGGGGCAGGGUGAGUCGACCCCUAAGGCGAGGCCGAAAGGCGUAGUCGAUGGGAAACAGGUUAAUAUUCCUGUACUUGGUGUUACUGCGAAGGGGGGACGGAGAAGGCUAUGUUAGCCGGGCGACGGUUGUCCCGGUUUAAGCAUGUAGGCUGGUUAUCCAGGCAAAUCCGGAUAAUCAAGGCUGAGGUGUGAUGACGAGGCACUACGGUGCUGAAGUAACAAAUGCCCUGCUUCCAGGAAAAGCCUCUAAGCAUCAGGUAACAUCAAAUCGUACCCCAAACCGACACAGGUGGUCAGGUAGAGAAUACCAAGGCGCUUGAGAGAACUCGGGUGAAGGAACUAGGCAAAAUGGUGCCGUAACUUCGGGAGAAGGCACGCUGGUGUGUAGGUGAAGUCCCUGCGGAUGGAGCUGAGACCAGUCGAAGAUACCAGCUGGCUGCAACUGUUUAUUAAAAACACAGCACUGUGCAAACACGAAAGUGGACGUAUACGGUGUGACGCCUGCCCGGUGCCGGAAGGUUAAUUGAUGGGGUUAUCCGUAAGGAGAAGCUCUUGAUCGAAGCCCCGGUAAACGGCGGCCGUAACUAUAACGGUCCUAAGGUAGCGAAAUUCCUUGUCGGGUAAGUUCCGACCUGCACGAAUGGCGUAAUGAUGGCCAGGCUGUCUCCACCCGAGACUCAGUGAAAUUGAACUCGCUGUGAAGAUGCAGUGUACCCGCGGCAAGACGGAAAGACCCCGUGAACCUUUACUAUAGCUUGACACUGAACAUUGAGCCUUGAUGUGUAGGAUAGGUGGGAGGCUUUGAAGCGUGGACGCCAGUCUGCGUGGAGCCAUCCUUGAAAUACCACCCUUUAAUGUUUGAUGUUCUAACGUGGGCCCCUGACCGGGGUUGCGGACAGUGUCUGGUGGGUAGUUUGACUGGGGCGGUCUCCUCCCAAAGCGUAACGGAGGAGCACGAAGGUUAGCUAAUCCUGGUCGGACAUCAGGAGGUUAGUGCAAUGGCAUAAGCUAGCUUGACUGCGAGCGUGACGGCGCGAGCAGGUGCGAAAGCAGGUCAUAGUGAUCCGGUGGUUCUGAAUGGAAGGGCCAUCGCUCAACGGAUAAAAGGUACUCCGGGGAUAACAGGCUGAUACCGCCCAAGAGUUCAUAUCGACGGCGGUGUUUGGCACCUCGAUGUCGGCUCAUCACAUCCUGGGGCUGAAGUAGGUCCCAAGGGUAUGGCUGUUCGCCAUUUAAAGUGGUACGCGAGCUGGGUUUAGAACGUCGUGAGACAGUUCGGUCCCUAUCUGCCGUGGGCGCUGGAGAAUUGAGGGGGGCUGCUCCUAGUACGAGAGGACCGGAGUGGACGCAUCACUGGUGUUCGGGUUGUCAUGCCAAUGGCACUGCCCGGUAGCUAAAUGCGGAAGAGAUAAGUGCUGAAAGCAUCUAAGCACGAAACUUGCCCCGAGAUGAGUUCUCCCUGAGACUUUAAGUCUCCUGAAGGAACGUUGAAGACGACGACGUUGAUAGGCCGGGUGUGUAAGCGCAGCGAUGCGUUGAGCUAACCGGUACUAAUGAACCGUGAGGCUUAACCUUACAACGCCGAAG